AUUGAACGCUGGCGGAAUGCUUUACACAUGCAAGUCGAGCGGCAGCGCGGCCUUCGGGCUGGCUGCGAGCGGCGAACGGGUGAGUAAUGCAUCGGAACAUUCCCAGUCGUGGGGGAUAACACUUCGAAAGAAGUUCUCAUACCGCAUACGUCCUGAGGGGGAAAGCGGGGGAUCGCAAGACCUCGCGCGCUUGGAGUGGCCGAUGUCAGAUUAGCUAGUUGGUGGGGUAAAGGCCUACCAAGGCGACGAUCUGUAGCUGGUAUGAGAGGAUGAUCAGCCACGCUGGGAAUGAGACACGGCCAAGACGCCAACGGGAGGCAGCAGUGGGGAAUUUUGGACAAUGGGGGGAAGCCUGAUGGAGCAAGUCCGCGAGAGUGAAGAAGGAAUUCGGGUUGUAAAGAGAUUUCGGCAGGAACGAAAAGGUGGGCUCGAACAUAGGCCGCUAAUGACGGUACCUGAAGAAGAAGCAACGGCUAAAUACGUG
rnacentral:rRNA from 1 species